rnacentral:rRNA from 1 species
GACGAACGCUGGCGGCGUGCUUAACACAUGCAAGUCGAACGGAAAGGCCCUGCUUUUGUGGGGUGCUCGAGUGGCGAACGGGUGAGUAACACGUGAGUAACCUGCCCUUGACUUUGGGAUAACUUCAGGAAACUGGGGCUAAUACCGGAUAGGAGCUCCUGCUGCAUGGUGGGGGUUGGAAAGUUUCGGCGGUUGGGGAUGGACUCGCGGCUUAUCAGCUUGUUGGUGGGGUAGUGGCUUACCAAGGCUUUGACGGGUAGCCGGCCUGAGAGGGUGACCGGCCACAUUGGGACUGAGAUAAGGACCAGACUCCUACGGGAGGCAGCAGUGGGGAAUAGUGCACAAUGGGCGGAAGCCGUAUGCAGCAACGCCGCGUGCGGGAUGACGGCCUUCGGGUUGUAACCCGCUUUCGCCUGUGACGAAGCGUGAGUGACGGUAAUGGGUAAAGAAGCACCGGCUAACUACGUG